CCUGCUAACCUUUGUCACGUACUACAUGAAUCAUGCAGUUGGAGGCACGUUCUACAGUUGCCACAGUGGACAUACGGUGAAGCUAUGGCGGAGGAGAAAAUCCCCGUGCCCAGUGCAUUGUCGCCGACAGCGCAGCCAGAAAGCAUUACGGACUUCGCCUUGGAGCUUCCAGACGAGCUACUGGACAUCUCUUUCGUAGAGCCGGAUGAGCCCGAACCGACGCCUGCUGAAGAUCCUGAGCCAUCCUCUAAGCCAAAGAAGCCACGAAAGAAAAAAAAGCAAGAACAAACCUGCCAUCCCUGUGCUACGUUCGAGCCGUGGUCGGGUCCUGAAGACCACCGUGCUGUACAACAGUGCGGAAUUCAGGGCCGACGAGAAACCAUGGACGAUACCAGAACGUAAACGCCUGCUGGCUGCGCUGAAGGAGCAUGGAAGCAGGGACAUCAGCAAGCUGUCCGAGGCUGUUCGCACGCGAAGUGUUG